ACUCCUACGGGAGGCAGCAGUGAGGAAUAUUGGUCAAUGGACGGAAGUCUGAACCAGCCAAGUAGCGUGCAGGAUGACGGCCCUAUGGGUUGUAAACUGCUUUUGUAUGGGGAUAAAGUUAGGGACGUGUCCCUAUUUGCAGGUACCAUACGAAUAAGGACCGGCUAAUUCCGUGCCAGCAGCCGCGGUAAUACGGAAGGUCCAGGCGUUAUCCGGAUUUAUUGGGUUUAAAGGGAGCGUAGGCUGGAGAUUAAGUGUGUUGUGAAAUGUAGACGCUCAACGUCUGAAUUGCAGCGCAUACUGGUUUCCUUGAGUACGCACAACGUUGGCGGAAUUCGUCGUGUAGCGGUGAAAUGCUUAGAUAUGACGAAGAACUCCGAUUGCGAAGGCAGCUGACGGGAGCGCAACUGACGCUUAAAGCUCGAAGGUGCGGGUAUCAAACAGGAUUAGAUACCCUGGUAGGAUAGCGU
rnacentral:rRNA from 1 species